GCAGUGUUCCGGUCUGCUGCUGGCAUCAUUUUGAGAUGCGAGAGGAAAGUCCGGGCAGCAUAGGGUGCCUCUCUUCUGAAAGUAGAAGCUAUUGGCGACAGUAGGGUAUGGCAGAAGAAAACAACCGCCACGUUGUGGUAAGGGUGAGAAGGUGGUGUAAGAGACCACCAGCCGUUGGGUGAUCAGCGGGCUGUGCCACCAGAGGGCUGCAAGUUCAUGUAAACCGUCGUCUGAGGGUUGCCCGCCCGACUAACUCCGAUGGAGGGUAGAACGCUUGAGCCGUGUGGCGACAUACGGACUAGAUAAAUAGCAGGCACCAUCUUUAAAUAGAUGGCACAGAACCCGGCUUAUAGGAACAGUGCUUUC
rnacentral:RNase_P_RNA from 1 species